GGAAGGUUACAGCUACAAUUCACUCCAUAUGCCUUUAAAAUCCAACAAAAUAUUCGCCAAAUGGUGAACUUUAGGCACUGCUACAUACAUGCCGUUUGAUGUUCUCUUCCUCUUUUGUCCUCCUAUAGUGAAUGUUUUCACAUUCUGCAUUUCUUAUAACCAUUUUUUUUCUGAUUGCAAUCAGUUGCAUCAUUUGCAUGUGUACAUAUAAUUUGUUUGAUUAGUAAUUAGAAAUGAUGAACACAAAUGCAAGAGAAGAGCUUAAUCCACCCUUGUCGAUUCUUCAGAGAUUGGAUCGCCUCGAACGUGUGCUUCUGUUUCUGGAAGAGAAAAACUGUUCCAUAGCAGGGCAUUCUGCUGUACAUGUUGCUGUUGACAAAUGUUCAGAACCCGAUGAACAAUGCAAGAGCUUGUCCUAUUCACUUGAAGAGGCUCAACACAAAGGCACUUGCUGGAUCGUAUAGCACUGCUAGAAAAUAGAGUAAUUAAGCUGAACAUACACAUGGACUUGGGAAACACCUCGAGGUCUAGUUCUUCCACUUCUUUAGUAGCUGAAAAGCUAGGAUCUUGCCCUUCAAGAGAGAAUCAGGAUCCUCUUAUGACACAGGAUAGCAGUGUUAAUGUGGAGGCUUGUUCAUUAAACUCACCAUUAAACUCACCAUCUUGCAGAAGACGAGUCAAAGCCAUGUCAAGAACGGGUUAUAAUAGGAAGUGGCUCAAAUGGUUAAAAUUGGGAUGUUGAUGAUGGUACAUGUUUAGGAUUUUGUAUCCUCAAUAAGUGGAAAGGAGUGGAGAAGAAACUAUAUUUACUUCACUUCAAUGAUCAACAAAUAGCUAGAAAUAGAUACUGCAAGCCUGUGUCUAUUAAUUUUCCUUUGUACCUGUUUUGAUUUCCAUGGCAUGAAACAGGUUAUAAAUUUCAAAACUAGAAAAAAAGUACACCCUUUAGAAGAAGACAAUGGAAUCGAAUCGUCCCCUGUAAAAUUGGCCCUAUUCCUCUGAAAAAUCUUUGCAAUUGGUUUUUUUUAUUAAAGGUAUGUUUGGCUGUCAAAAUAAGGAGGAUUAGAUAUGAGAAGUUGUUAAUCAUUAGUUUAUUGAGCCAAUAGGGUGGCUUAUCAGUUAUCACUUCCAAUAAAACAUGGGGUGGGAGGAGUAUCUCACUUGGUUGAGCUAAGUGUAGAAACAUAUAUUAGAGAUGGAGGUCUAGGGUUCGAAUCUUGAGGAUGAGCAUUUGUAGUUACUAACAUCUAACCACUAACAUUUGCAUAUCAUAAAAAUAAAAAUAAAAAUCCAAUAAAUCAUCAAA